rnacentral:rRNA from 1 species
UACAGAGGGUGCGAGCGUUGUCCGGAAUCACUGGGCGUAAAGGGCGCGUAGGUGGCGCCGCAAGUCCAUGGUGAAAGCUCGAUGCUCAACAUCGAGUCGGCCACGGAGACUGCGGGGCUCGAGCACUGUAGGGGCAGAUGGAAUUCCGGGUGUAGCGGUGGAAUGCGUAGAGAUCCGGAAGAACACCGGUGGCGAAGGCGGCAUCCUGGACCAACACUGACACUGAGGAGCGAAAGCCAGGGGAGCAAACGGG